UCAAUUUUUAAGCCGAAGAGCCGGCAUUGCUCAUAGACACUUCCAAGGUCAUGUAGCUGGCAUGACUACAUGGAGUGCCAUUAAUUUCCUGCCAGAACGGAACCUAUUGAUCUACUCACAUUUGCAUGUUUUCAAAUUGCUAGGCUGGCAGAAGCUGGGGAUAACAACGGGAGCUCAUGCUGGUCCCCGGAUUUGAACCUGCGAUUUUCAUUUAGCAAGUUCAGCAGCUCAGUGGUUUAACCCACUCUGCCACAGUAGGAUUUAUUCCCAGUGACUGAUGCUGGAUGAGAAACUCCCUCCUGGGCAACUAGAAGACUGGGCGAGUUGGACAGUGCUGAACAGACUGCGAUCUGGUACCAUGAGAUGCAGAACCAGUCUUAAGAAAUGGAGCUUCAAAGUGGAGUUCACACAUGUGAGUGUGGAGAAGAGCAAAUCACA